ACUCCGGCUUGAGUGUUAAAUGGCCAGCAGGAAUUAUCCACUAGAGAAGCGGAAGGGAGAGAAUGGAAAUGGCCGCAUGCAGCUCCUCUCCCUCAGACAGCUCGGGGCUCAGCGGAAUGAGCACAGUCUGCAGGACAAGUGCGGAGGACUUCAGUCCCCUCUACUGUAUAUUGGCUUUAGGACUCAAGUUGUCCCUGAAAUAGAGGAAGGUGUUUUCUAGGGUAGUGGUAAUUAUCACAGUCAAAAAAGUAGGCGAGAGCACUUAGGAAAACUGUGCGGAGAUCGGCUGCUGAUGUGUAAAUACUGCUGAAGCUGCUUAUUCAAGAUUAGAAAACCUGAGACCCAGACGGGGGAAACUGCUUUCCAUGGUUAAUCGUCAACAACUGGCCAGGAUGGGACAGAAGCCCAUACAUAGCCUUCAUUCCAGGGCUCAGAACAAAAAGAAGGCAGUGGCCUGGGCUGCACCUGAGCUUGGCUUCACAUAGGAGGGAUUCUGGAACGCAGGAUCCUGACAACGACCUCAAGCCCCUGUAAAGCAACACAUUUUUUGGCAAGAAUCCCUGGGACAGAGAAAGAAUUUCUUCUCACUUAUUAUUGAGAAUGUUCUCAUGUCUUGCAAGAACUGAGACUACCAUACACCUAAGAAGUCAAAGUUGCUAUUCAAGGGGAAGUGCAAACACAAGAUGAGGGAAACUGAUGUAUUUAGUGUCUACAUUUUACAAAUGGAUGCUUUUCAUAAUAUGAAAAUACUGCACCAUAAGAUUGCCAGUCACAACAGCACGGCUACAGUGAAAAUGAUCCCAGUGGAUUUGUUACGGUGAGAAAGCUUCACUUGGAGACAAAGCCAAAACCUUCCUCCCAGGCUCCCUUGGAUGUAGGGGGAAGCAAACUGGCUGUCCAGGCCUCUGAGCCACAUCUACACACCUCAUGAGAGGGCCUGUGCAACAUUGCCUUAGAGAUGGAGAGCAUUGCUUCAGAAUCAGGGAAGCCUAAAUUUCACCCCUGGGGCUGCCCCUUGUGAUCUUGAAUGGCUCCUGACAAGAGGCUGCUGGGGAGGCUCCUGCUCCCUGCCUUUCGGGACUGCCGUGGAUUGCCCAUUGAUGGGUCAAAAUCCAGCUACCUGGUAAUUCAAUGAGUCCCUAGUGUGCAUCCAAUAAAUUAUCUUCUGUUUAAAUUAGAACAAA
rnacentral:lncRNA from 1 species